rnacentral:rRNA from 1 species
GUAGGUGGCAAGCGUUGUCCGGAAUUAUUGGGCGUAAAGCGCGCGCAGGCGGUUCUUUAAGUCUGAUGUGAAAGCCCACGGCUCAACCGUGGAGGGUCAUUGGAAACUGGAGAACUUGAGUACAGAAGAGGAAAGCGGAAUUCCACGUGCAGCGGUGAAAUGCGUAGAGAUGUGGAGGAACACCAGUGGCGAAGGCGGCUUUCUGGUCUGUAACUGGCGCUGAGGCGCGAAAGCGUGGGGGAGCAAACAGGAUUAGAUACCCUGGUAGUCCACGCCGUAAACGAUGAGUGCUAAGUGUUAGGGGGUUUCCGCCCCUUAGUGCUGCAGCUAACGCAUUAAGCACUCCGCCUGGGAGUACGGCCGCAAGGCUG